rnacentral:rRNA from 1 species
UACGGGGGGGGCAAGCGUUGUUCGGAAUUACUGGGCGUAAAGGGCUCGUAGGCUGCCAACUAAGUCGGACGUGAAAGCCCCGGGCUCAACCUGGGAAUUGCGCGCGAAACGGGGGGGCUUGAGUUCGGGAGAGGAGCGUGGAAUUCCCAGUGUAGAGGUGAAAUUCGUAGAUAUUGGGAAGAACACCGGUGGCGAAGGCGGCGCUCUGGACCGAGACUGACGCUGAGGCGCGAAAGCGUGGGGAGCAAACAGG